rnacentral:tRNA from 1 species
GAUUAAGUGGCUGAAGUAUAGGCAAUAGAUUGUAAAUCUAUUUAUAAGAAAUAUCUUCUUAAUCA